rnacentral:rRNA from 1 species
CGAGAAGGGGACUUCGGUCCCUGAGUAGAGCGGCGCACGGGUGAGUAACGCGUGGAUUAUCUACCCAGAUAUUCGGGAUAACGGCGGGAAACUGCCGCUAAUACCGGAUACGCUCCAAUUUCGGUUGGGGGAAAGGCGGCCUCUGCUUGCAAGCUGUCGUAUCUGGAUGAGUCCGCGUCCCAUUAGCUUGUUGGUGGGGUAAUGGCCUACCAAGGCGACGAUGGGUAGCUGGUCUGAGAGGAUGAUCAGCCACACUGGAACUGAAACACGGUCCAGACUCCUACGGGAGGCAGCAGUGGGGAAUAUUGCGCAAUGGGGGAAACCCUGACGCAGCGACGCCGUGUGAGGGAAGAAGGCUUUCGGGUCGUAAACCUCUGUCGGGAGGGAAGAACCUUCCAGGCCUGAACAAGUCCUGGAACUGACGGUACCUCCAAAGGAAGCACCGGCUAACUCCGUGCCAGCAGCCGCGGUAAUACGGAGGGCGCAAGCGUUAAUCGGAAUCACUGGGCGUAAAGCGUGCGUAGGCUGCUUGAUAAGUCAGACGUGAAAUCCCUCGGCUCAACCGGGGAACUGCGUUUGAUACUGUCGAGCUAGAGUCCUGGAGAGGGUGGCGGAAUUCCUGGUGUAGGAGUGAAAUCCGUAGAUAUCAGGAGGAACACCGGUGGCGAAGGCGGCCACCUGGACAGGUACUGACGCUGAGGUACGAAAGCGUGGGGAGCAAACAGGAUUAGAUACCCUGGUAGUCCACGCGGUAAACGAUGGAUGCUAGGUGUCGGGGAGCGAUCUUCGGCGCCGCAGCUAACGCAUUAAGCAUCCCG